rnacentral:rRNA from 1 species
CUACGGGAGGCAGCAGUGGGGAAUCUUAGACAAUGGGGGAAACCCUGAUCUAGCCAUGCCGCGUGAUCGAUGAAGGCCUUAGGGUUGUAAAGAUCUUUCAGAUGGGAAGAUAAUGACGGUACCAUCAGAAGAAGCCCCGGCUAACUCCGUGCCAGCAGCCGCGGUAAUACGGAGGGGGCUAGCGUUAUUCGGAAUUACUGGGCGUAAAGCGCACGUAGGCGGACUGAAAAGUCAGAGGUGAAAUCCCAGGGCUCAACCUUGGAACUGCCUUUGAAACUCUCAGUCUUGAGGUCGUGAGAGGUGAGUGGAAUUCCGAGUGUAGAGGUGAAAUUCGUAGAUAUUCGGAGGAACACCAGUGGCGAAGGCGGCUCACUGGCACGAUACUGACGCUGAGGUGCGAAAGCGUGGGGAGCAAACAGGAUUAGUACCCGGGUAGUC